GGCAUGUGUCCUGCUAUCUGAGACCAGUGGCAAAAGUCCCAGUGUUUGUUUAUAAUGUCUUCAAAAAUAUAGCAACCAGAGCUAUUGCGGAGUGUUUCAGGGCUGGGAAGAGUUGCAGAACUACAACACAGAGGAAGCAUUACUGCCUGGUGUGAUACCCUGAUACAACUAUUAGAAUGGUCACCAAAACCACAUAGCAGGAACGCAGAAAGGACAGAGACUGCAGAGUGGUGGCUGGACAUUACUCAAGCAUUAGAAGAUGCGCCAGAAGUUAGUCAAUAUGAGCUGCUCCCCUGAGAGAGGAAGUGCAGUAAAGCAAAAGGUGGUUUGUUGAAGAAGUUUUGGGAAAGACAUGAAGAAGACAAGAAGAAAUGAGAACACCCAGGCAAGAGAUGAAUGAAUAUUGCAUAAGAGAAGAUCUGCAACAGUUAAGCGUGACUGUUAAAGAAGGCCCGAAUUAUGACAUCUCCGGUGAUAAUCCGUGCAUUUUGGUCUCCAGGAUAAAACAAUGUUCAGACGUAAAGUUUCCACUGUGUGAAUAAUACACAUUAUUUUUCAUAUUACCAGUGUACCAUUUUUCUUGAACUGCAGUCUUCAUAAUACAUUGAUGUGGUUUAUAAUGAGAAAUAAAUAAAUAAAGAUAGCACCCCUUGAAAUAUUGGUAUUCAUUCCUCAUAAUUACACAGGAAGUAAUUCUGAAACCCAUGGCAGUUUGAUGGAGUGGGUAUUCAUUAUUUUGUGGAAAAAAUACCCUUCUGGAAUACUCUGAUAAGUAUAACUCAACAUUUCACUAAAUGGACAAGGUAAAAUUCUUAACAGAAAGUUUAUUCAAGAAAUUGUUCCACAGACAACUAACUUUUCAGCAAAAAAUAAAAAUAGAAAAUAAAAAAAAAAUAACUACAAAGAAUAAAGAUUUUUGAAAGGGAGUUAGCUAUACCUUUUCUAUACCUUUUCUAAAUCAUCAUGACUAUGACUUUACAGUCUGAUUCUGCUUUCAUGCCUUCAGUAUAACUAAUUACAUAUUUUAAGUACCAGGGUUACAAAAGAACUACAAAUUUGUUUAUUUCUAGACUACAGUAACUAAAAUAAAUCUGUUUACAAUGACAUAAAACAACUUUUUAUAACAAGUAAAUACUAAAAAAGUACAAUUUUCUGUAAUAUAAAUACAUAACGGGGAUAAAUAAUACAAAAGAAAUACUAAACCAAUAAAUACUUAUGAAUGUUCACUAGAACACAUUUGCUGAAAGACACCUUGAUUGGAAUAGCGUCUUUUCAGUUUGUUUCAUUCAUUCAAUGUAAACACUAAGUGCAAGAAAUAUGUCCAGACCAAAAAGCAGUAGGAACCCCUGAAGGUUUUCACUUUUGCUUAAGCCUCAGGACAUACUUUUGUCCAAAUACCCUGUUUUCAAGUAAAAAAAAAAAAAAAAAAAAAAA